rnacentral:misc_RNA from 1 species
UUUACUGGUUGAUUGAAUCACCAUCGACUCGUAAUCCUGAGAAAAGGCCACUUGUUUUGUGGCUUAAUGGAGGGCCAGGAUGUUCUUCUGUAGCUUAUGGAGCUGCUGAAGAAAUCGGCCCGUUUCAUAUUAAUGCUGAUGGGAAGACACUUUACUUGAAUCCUUACUCAUGGAACAACUUGGCGAAUUUGCUUUUUCUUGAAUCACCAGCUGGAGUUGGUUUUUCUUAUACAAAUACUACCUCAGAUUUGUAUGAUGCUGGUGAUCAAAGAACAGCUGAAGAUACCUACCAGUUUCUUAUCAAGUGGUUUGAAAGGUUUCCUCAGUACAAGCAUAGAGAAUUUUACAUUGCUGG